rnacentral:misc_RNA from 1 species
GGGAUGUCAAGUUACUAACCGAAGAUAUUGGAGAGCUGAAACCAACUAUCUUCUGUGCUGUACCUCGGGUAUUAGACAGAAUAUAUUCAGGUUUGCAACAUAAAAUUACUUCUGGUGGUAUGCUCAAAAGCACCUUGUUCAAUCUUGCGUAUGCUUACAAACACCGCAAUUUGAAGAAGGGGCAAAGCCACGUUGAAGCUUCUCCCCUUUCUGACAAAGUCGUUUUCAGUAAGGUAAAAGAAGGGUUAGGAGGCAGAGUACGCCUUAUAUUGUCUGGAGCAGCUCCCCUUGCAUCUCAUGUGGAAGCUUUUUUGCGAGUUGUGGGAUGUUGUCACGUUCUUCAAGGAUAUGGUUUGACUGAAACAUGUGCUGGUACAUUUGUGUCACUACCAAACCACUAUGAUAUGCUUGGUACGGUUGGUCCUCCGGUGCCCAAUGUGGAUGUGUGCCUGGAGUCCGUCCCUGAAAUGUCAUAUGAUGCUCUGUCAAGCACGCCACGUGGAGAAGUAUGCGUGAGGGGGGACACUCUUUUUUCAGGCUAUUUCAAGCGUGAAGACCUAACAAAAGAAGUCAUGAUUGAUGGGU